UCCCUUUUUGGUAGGAAGCUAAAGAGCUACACACCCUGUUACAAACGUGACCGUGGAGCUCCCAGUGACAUUGCAGCUGAUGGCACUUGUCAACAGCAGCAGGAGCUUUCCUAAGGACAAGGGGAGCUGGAGUCCAGCUCAGGAGUGCCUGGAGAUGGGAAAGAGCACUAAAGCAUGGGAGAGCCCUCUCUCUUCCAAGUGUGGCCUGCUGAUUGUGUACACCGUAAAACAUCAGUGUCAAAAGCCAUGAGAGAACACACCCACUGCAAGGCAUGAAAUGGAUUUCACCACCACACACUGAUGUUCCACUGGGGCAGAACAUGUGGUUAGCUGUCUAUCACAGCAGCAAAUGUAAAUCCUGCAUGGACCAGAGGUAAGAAAAUCAUUCAUCCAAGAAUAAUCAACUUUUGGAAAUCAUUCACUGCUGCUAUAACUGAGCACAAUGCACCAGCAAUUAGUUGUGCAUCAUUGCUUUUAAAUUGCACAAAGCUGGCUGCAGUGGGGGUGGUGAAUAUUUGUUAAGCUGGGUUUAUAUGAAAUAAGAGAUCACCUGGAGGAGGAAUAUUACUGGAAUUUACGUUUCAAGUCAUAUCUGGGAAUUUACAUUUCAGUUGUAGAAUGUCUCCUCUUGGCUUUCACAACCAGUGAUGUCAUAGAUCAAAGAUACUGGGUAUCUCAGAAAGCCCUGCUGAAGAUACAAUGAAUAAUUCAACAUUUGCAGACCAGCUCCUGCUCUUAUUUGUACUGGAGUUAAUAAGAAGUGAUUCCAUUGAAGCCAAGAGAAAAUUUUAUUCCAGUGUGAGGAAUAUGAGAAUGAGAGAAACAGAGUGUACCCAAGGCUUUGCUGCCUUCCCAGAGGGUGUCAGACCCAGAGCCCACCCAGGUUAAAAGAAAUUCCUGGGCUGCCCUCCAUGGAGAGGCCCUUGGAGAGGGCAGAGACUGCAAACCUCAUAUGGGAGCCAGGCAGCUGAACCCCAAGCUCAAGGAUCUCCUGGAAAUAUUUGAUGAUAGACCAGAAGAACUCCUUGCACAGACAGGGAAGACAGUGAAAACACAGAUCUGCACAGGCACGAGGGGGUUGCCUUUGGAUAGAGUACAACGGAGAGCGUUGCUCUUUUGUAUGAACAUUUUGCAAUAGCAGGAGGGAAGAAGCCUGGUAAUGUUUUGUAAUCACUUUUAUGUAGUCCUAGGAAGAACAGAGAAAAACCCAAACAAAAGCAGGUAGGAGUGGGUGUUAAAUGCCCAGGGAGAGUCCCAGAGCAGCAUCAGCCCUGUCCCUCUGCAGAAGGGGCACACAACCUGGGGGGCACACACAGACCCUCACUCCUGGAACCCCCUCCCUGUGUUCCUGCUGCUGCUGGCUCCCUUCUGAGGCACCUUACACCUCCUGCUCUGGUGCUGUGCUGUGACAACAAACUUGGGAUGGAACUGCAACCACAAGUAACUGAGCUCUUCAGAAAAACACAAAGUUUAAUGCAAAACCAGCUUCUAUUCAACAGCUGAGAAAGAACAAAUAAGGUAUAUGGUUACUGUCCUAACCUUUGUUUCUCAAGGCUUAUUGGUACCACUGAUAGCUCUGUAACUUUCCCUUUGGAGACUCCUGUUCUUGUCUUCACUUCUUCUGUCCUACUCCUGAUCCUAGAGACAGCCUCCCCAGUCUUGAAGCCUCAGAUGAGUCCUUAUUUUCAUUUAAAUCCUUCCAUCACCUUUCUCUAAGAAUCCUUUACUGUAAUUUCAGAUUCUCAACCUUUUUCUUUCCUGUGUGCUUGUAAGACUGAUUUAAUUUUUUUACAGGAAACUUUCAGCAGCCUCUGUAUCCCUUCAUGCUGCUGAGCAGGAGCAAUUCAAUUGACACUGGAAAAGUGAGAAGUACCUCUGGGUAAAGUGAAUGCCUGGGUAAAUUAAUAGAGAGCCCCAAGUUACAGCAGACCUCUCAGUAAAAGCAACUGGAAGGAGCAACAAAUACCAUUAUCAUUUAAAAUUACAAUAUAAACACUAUCCACCACCAUCCUGGCAGUUCAAAAGCGAGCUAAGAACUCCAUCAGCAGCCUGUUUUGCUUUGAACAAUUAGUUUUAUAAGAGAACAUUGAUCAAAGGCUUUGGUAGCAAGUUUAGUGAAGUGUUCAUCGUGUACAAAGUCGCUGGGAAAUUACUCAGCCCUGAACUCAGCUCAGCCAAAAUCAGGUAAACCAUAAAUAACCAGGGUUAAAGAUGAACAGUCAGCUCUGAACAAAGGAAUUCCAGGGACAGCAGAGCAUGGCUGCAGUCUGAGCAGCAAUGGGCUGCUUUUGGAGCAAUGGAGGAGAGCAGCUCACUUCUGUGCAAGCUGUUCCAGGCCAUAAGAAACUGCAAUGACAAAAAUGCAAAGAUUCUUGGUGACAUCUACUUAAUUACAAAGAUGGUGAAACACUGGAGUUCCAGGGAAAAGUUCCUAAUAUGUGGUUGUAAACAGAGAAAAUAACUCAGGCUUUCUGGAAGGAGCUCACCCAGCUGAAAUAUGGGCCAAGGUCUCAUCUUUUGCUCAGGGCUGCUCAAUUUUCUGUAGAAAUUGAGGUUUAGUGAAUAGUUGUCUAUUUUUUUGCACAUUUUCAGCUAGUUAAAAGCUGAAACACUUCCCUAAUGUGAGGGAAAACAUUUUUCCCCAGAAUGGAAGUAAACACAAAAUUUCAAGUGAUUCAACAUGCACCUGCUGAACCCACAAGUAUAAGUUAGUAUAUUCAUUCCUUAUUCUUUUUUUAGGAAGUCAGGGAGGGAACCACAUUGAAAAUGUUCCUCUACCAAAUUCUCAUUGUAGAUCUAUAAUCAAUGAAAAUAAAUUAGAGAGGGCAAACCAGAUGCCAUUUGAAUUAAUUUCCAAUCUUUCCAAGCAGUUUAAGCUCCUUCCAGCACUGAAGCACAUGCCAGCAUGAGCUCUCUUGCUCCUUUAAUGCCACCACCAAUGGACAGGCUAGUAUUUGUCACAGAGAAAAAGUUACAGGUUCUCAUUUCUUGUUGAAGUUCACAUUCAAGACAAAACUCCAAGGAACUGAAUUUGACCUUGAACUGAUUCCAAAAAUAUAGCUUGUGCACUUCCAGUUGAAAGAAAAAUCAGGGAUCCUGGCUCAAGGGUGAAAUGGAAGCCUUGUUUGAACUACAAAAUUAGUGCAGUUUGAGAAAAAAUGACUGUAUAGUAUGGGAACAUAAAUUAAAGGUAAAUCAUGAAAACAAUGAAGUUUUUUUAAAAAUAAAAUCGCUUUCCGUUAAAAGUCAAUUAUUUCUCCAGAAGGUCAAACUUAUUUUCAGUAAUAACACUGUUCACUAGUAGACCAUGAAGACCUGUACACAUCUGAAAUAUGUAGAACUUUUAAUAUGCACAACAGAAACUGGAUGUUGGAACGGUGUCAAAGAGUCUCUGCAAAAUUACAAUGCAAGUCGGACCGCAUGAAGUAAUCAAAGUCUCAGUUUAUUAAAAUGUGUUAUUUAUGACUUACAGAAAAUAUUUCUUGUCUGUGAAAGAGAAGUGAGUUAAGAAUUAACCCUUUUAAUAUUAAGAGAUUCCUUUUUUUCAUUGAACACACAAAUAACUGAAUUUUAUUCAUGAAGCAGGCAAAACAGAGGUGCCAAGUCUCCCACAUUAUCAUCUCCUGGAUUCAUUCUCUAGCUAAUAAAUCUUCUGAUUCCCAUUUUCUGCCUGCAGAAUGCUGAUGCCUGCCCUGCUGGCUGUGCUGCUGCCAGGGUGUCUGCGAGGGUUGGCACAGGGCUGGCACAGGCUGGCACAGCCCCAUGAGCACUGCUGGGGGGCUGCAGAGUGCUUCAUGGCUGGCUCACACCAAUGGGGUCAAAAUAUGCUGCCAAAAGAGAGGUAGAAUAGGUUGGGUCCUGGACCAAGCUUGUCAGCAUGAACACUUGCUUUGCUUGUAAAAUAAAAGCUUUGACAAUUUU